rnacentral:rRNA from 1 species
UCGCUCAACGGAUAAAAGCUACCCCGGGGAUAACAGGCUUAUCUCCCCCAAGAGUCCACAUCGACGGGGAGGUUUGGCACCUCGAUGUCGGCUCAUCGCAUCCUGGGGCUGUAGUCGGUCCCAAGGGUUGGGCUGUUCGCCCAUUAAAGCGGUACGCGAGCUGGGUUCAGAACGUCGUGAGACAGUUCGGUCCCUAUCCGUCGUGGGCGCAGGAAAUUUGAGAGGAGCUGUCCCUAGUACGAGAGGACCGGGAUGGACACACCGCUGGUGUACCAGUUGUUCCGCCAGGAGCACAGCUGGGUAGCUACGUGUGGAAGGGAUAAGUGCUGAAAGCAUCUAAGCAUGAAGCCCCCCUCAAGAUGAGAUUUCCCAUCACGUCAAGUGAGUAAGAUCCCUGAAAGAUGAUCAGGUUGAUAGGUCCGAGGUGGAAGCGUGGUGACACGUGGAGCUGACGGAUACUAAUCGAUCGAGGACUUAACCAAG